AUCACACAGGGAUCUUGUUAAAAGGCAGAUUUUAAUUCAGUAGGUCCAGUGUAGAGCCGGAGAUUCUUCAUUUCUAACAAGCCCAUGAGUGAUGCCCA
rnacentral:pre_miRNA from 1 species